rnacentral:rRNA from 1 species
AGACCCGAAACCGGCGCGAUCUAUCCAUGGCCAGGUUGAAGAUUAGGUAGUACUAAUUGGAGGACCGAACCCAAUACUGUUGCAAAAGUAUGGGAUGAGCUGUGGAUCGGAGUGAAAGGCUAAUCAAGCACGGAGAUAGCUGGUUCUCCCCGAAAACUAUUUAGGUAGUGCCUCGUGUAUAACUCAUUGGGGUAAAGCACUGUUUCGACAAUGGGGGUUUUACGACCUUACUGACUCGAUGCAAACUCAGAAUACGAUGAAGUUCGAUCACGGGAGACACACUGCGGGUGCUAAGGUCCGCAGUGGAAAGGGAAACAGCCCAGACCGCCAACUAAGGUCCCAAAGUCAUAGCUAAGUGGGAAACGAAGUGGGAAGGCCCAGACAGCCAGGAGGUUGGCUUAGAAGCAGCCACCCUUUAAAGAAAGCGUAAUAGCUCACUGGUCGAGUCGGCCUGCACGUAAGAUUUAACGGGGCUAAGCUAUGCACUGAAGUUGCGGAAUAUAUUUAGUAUAUUGGUAGGGGAGCGUUCUGUAAGCCGAUGAAGGUGAAUUGAGAAGUUUGCUGGAGGUAUCAGAAGUGCGAAUGCUGACAUGAGUAACGUAAAAUAAGUGAGAUUCUUAUUGGCCGAAAACCCAAGGGUUCCUACGCAAUGUUAAUCAACGUAGGGUAAGCCGGCCCCUAAGGCGUAGCUGAAGAGUGAAGUCGAUGGGAAACAGGUUAAUAUUCCUGUGCUGCUUAUAUGAACGAAGGAGGGACGGAGAAGGUUAGGUAGGCCUGGCGAAUGGUUGUCCAGGUGAAAGUAUGUAGGUAGGAAUGCUAGGCAAAUCCGGUGUUCUGUUGAUCUGAGAUACGAGACGAAGUUAAACUUGUUUGACGAAGCUAUUGAUACCAUGCUUCCAGGAAAAGCUUCUAAGUAUAUUGUAUAAGUGACCGUACUGUAAACCGACACUGGUGGGUAGGUAGAGAAUACUAAGGCUAUGAGAUAACUCUGGUGAAGGAACUAGGCAAAAUGACACCGUAACUUUGGAAGAAGGUGUGCCCUUGAUGGUGAUGAGACUUGCUCUUUGAGCUGUUGGGGGUUGCAGAUACCAGGUGGCUGCGACUGUUUAUCAAAAACACAGCACUCUGCGAAAUCGUAAGAUGAAGUAUAGGGUGUGACGCCUGCCCGGUGCUGGAAGGUUAAUUGAAGGGGUUAGCGCAAGCGAAGCUCUGGAUCGAAGCCCCAGUAAACGGCGGCCGUAACUAUAACGGUCCUAAGGUAGCGAAAUUCCUUGUCGGGUAAGUUCCGACCUGCACGAAUGGCGUAACGAUGGCCACACUGUCUCCACCAGAGACUCAGUGAAAUUGAAAUCGCUGUGAAGAUGCAGUGUACCCGCGGUUAGACGGAAAGACCCCGUGAACCUUUACUAUAGCUUUGCACUGGACUUUGAAUAUUUAUGUGUAGGAUAGGUGGGAGACCAUGAAGCAGCUACGCCAGUAGUUGUGGAGUCGUCCUUGAAAUACCACCCUUGAAUAUUUGAAGUUCUAACUCAGGAGAGAUUCGAGGACAGUGUAUGGUGGGUAGUUUGACUGGGGCGGUCUCCUCCUAAAGAGUAACGGAGGAGUACGAAGGUGCACUCGGUACGGUCGGAAAUCGUGCCAAGAGUAUAAAGGCAAAAGUGCGCUUGACUGCGAGAGUGACGGCUCGAGCAGGUACGAAAGUAGGUCUUAGUGAUCCGG